rnacentral:rRNA from 1 species
UACGUAGGGUGCAAGCGUUUAAUCGGAAUUACUGGGCGUAAAGCGUGCGCAGGCGGCUAUGCAAGACAGAUGUGAAAUCCCCGGGCUCAACCUGGGAACUGCAUUUGUGACUGCACGGCUGGAGUGCGGCAGAGGGGGAUGGAAUUCCGCGUGUAGCAGUGAGAUGCGUAGAUAUGCGGAGGAACACCGAUGGCGAAGGCAAUCCCCUGGGCCUGCACUGACGCUCAUGCACGAAAGCGUGGGGAGCAAACAGG